GGUGAGAUGGCCGAGCGGUCUAAGGCGCCAGACUAAGGCUUAUGUAAUCAUCUGGUCCGAAAGGGCGUGGGUUCGAAUCCCACUCUCAUCA
rnacentral:tRNA from 1 species